rnacentral:lncRNA from 1 species
UUCGCUGGGUUCUGUGAAAGUGCGGGUUCAGGCCCCUUCCUUCGGUAGUGAGCUCGAGCCCAGACAGAUUUUCAUGAGUAUCAUGUGGAGCUUGGGCAGGUGCAAAACUCCUACUUUCCAUAAGAAAACCUACCCCCGCAUCUUUGUAAGACUUCGGGUGAUGUUUUAAGUCAGGAACUUAGGAGGUACAUCUGCAACCCGUGUCCUUAUUCAAAUGACAAAGGCAGCUAUUCCUCAUGUCUUAGUUCUGUGAAGAGAAAGGAGGAAAAAUACAUCGGCAGAUUGUGGAGGAAGACAGAAGCUGAGCCAUGCUCACGACACACCUGCGGAAGGAUUGGCGUGAGGCGGGACCCAUCAGAGUGAGGCACCUGGCAGUGACCCAACGCUGAAACAAAUGAUCUCACUGUUCUUCAAGGUGCUAGCACAGGACCAAAGAAAGCACUCUGCUGAAUUGGCUAUAAGCGACGCUCCUAACUGCUUUUGAGAGGGAAAACAAGCAAGAAAGAAUGUACCUAGAAGUUGCCUGUGCUUCAAGGAGGCUCUGCCUGGAGACAGGAUUUGUGGGUGCCGCGAUGGAUUGGAUCCGGAGUGCACUCAAAGAAAGGCGUAGGUGUUGAAAAGCUGCUCUCCAGUGGUGGUGCUGUGGGAGGUUGUGGAACUGCAGGAGGUGGGCCUUAGCUGGGGGAAGCGGGCCCUGGGACAUGCUCUCCAAGGGCAUAUUGGGACCCUGACCCCCAUCCUGUGCUUUGUGGUUGCCACCAGCUCAGCACUUUUGCUCCAUCCUGUGUAGUUUGCCAUGAUGUCUGUCUUGCCACAGAGCCAAGUG